GCCGCUUUAGCUCAGUGGUAGAGCAACCGCCUUGUAAGCGGUAGGUCAUCAGUUCGAAUCCGAUAAGCGGCACCA
rnacentral:tRNA from 1 species